rnacentral:lncRNA from 1 species
ACUAAAAACUCUUUCAUUUCUAUUUUCCAAUUGAAACUAUUCUAAUUUCCAAAUAGCAUUCUCAAAUAUUAAUAUUAAUUUUCUAAACACUGAUUAAUAUUAGUUUUUCUAUUUUAGGCAUUCAUUUGUUUUUAAAAAAACCACCACUUUUUACUUUAGAAAACAUUAAUAAAAUAGAAAAAUUUAUUAAUUGACCUAUUUAUAUUAUAUUAGAGUUAUAAAUAAUUAUAUGUACUCAAUACCCCUUUUAAAAAACGCCCCCCUUUGGAUGUCCAUUUUUAAAAAUACCCCUUUUAUGUACAAAAUGACUAAAUUACCCUUCUUUUAAUAAAAGAUAUCAUAAAUAUAUAAGGAAAUAUAACAAAAUUAGGUCCCCAAAAUACAAAAUAUUUUUUGGCGGGAAAAGUAAUCCCCCAAUUUUUCCCACCAAAACACUUGUAAAAAUUUGUAAAACCUUUAAAAUACCUUGUAAAAUUUUCCCGUAAAAUUUUUUCCCGCCAAAAAAUUUUCCCGCCAAAAAAUUUUUUUUGCGGGAAAAGUGAUUCUGCAAAUUUUUUGGUGUUAAAUUUUUGGCGGGAAAAAUUUACAAGGUAUUUUGAAGGGUUUUUACAGGGUAUUUAUAAGGUUUUACAAUGUAUUUUAAAAGGUUUUACAACGUAUUUAUAAAGUAUUUAUAAGAUAUUAUAAGAUUUUACAAGCUAUUUUAUAAGGUUUUACAAGUUAUAAGGUUUUACAAGUUUUUUAUAAGGUUUUACAAGUUAUAAAUACCUUAUAAAACCUUAUAAGUACCUUGUAAAACUUUUUAAAAUACAUUGUAAAACCUUACAAAACACUUGUAAAUACUCCGUAAAACCUUUAAAAUACCUUGUAAAUUUUUCCCGCCAAAAAAAUUUCGGCAAAAAAAUUGCGGAAUCACUUUUCCCGCAAAAACAAAUUUUUGGCGGGAAAAAAUUUUACGGGAAAAUUUUACAAGGUAUUUUAAAGGUUUUUACAAGUGUUUUGGCGGGAAAAUUGUGGGAUCACUUUUCCCGCCAAAAAAUAUUUUGUAUUUUGUGGACCUAAUUUUGUUUCAAAUAAGGGUAAAAUGGUCAUUAAAAUUAAAAGAGGGCAAACUUAAAAAUGGACUCUCAAAAGGGGCAUUUUUGAAAAAGGGUAUUGAAAAAGGGGUAUUUUUAACAAUUUCUCUAUUAUAUUAGAGUUAUAAAUAAUUAUAUGUACUCAAUAUUUCUUAUUUUUUAAUCGGUAUCAUGAAUUAAUACUUUAACAUUAACAAAUAUAUUUUGUUGACAAAAAAGCAAAUAUAUUCUCAAAUUUAAAUGUGUAUUUCAUAAAUGAAUUACUUUUUAUUCUAAGUAAAAACCUUUAAAUUUGGAUUUUUAACUCUUAUUUUAUUUAUUCUAUUAAAUAAUUGUAACUCUUAAAAAUGAUUAUUGUACCAUUAAAAUAUACGAUAAUAUUUACUCAUUAUUUGUUAAGAUAAAAUUAUUAAUUUUAUAUUUAUCGCUAUUUUAAAAAAUCAUAUUUGUGUUGUAUAUUUUCCAUUUUUUUAGUACUUUAUUGUUUUUUUUUGGUAAAUUAUUGUUUUUCUUUAACAAAAGAUAAUAAUAUCAUGUGUUUGAAUUAAUUUUAGUUUUAAUGUUUUUUGUAAGAUAAAGUGUGUAAAUUAAUUUUAGUUUCAAUGUUUUUGUUUUAUUAAAUAAAAUAUGUGGAACCCACAAAAUGUAAAAUAUGAUGAUAUGGAUGUUGAUGUGGACACUCUAGAUGGAGAGAAGAUGCUCUAAUUAUAUAUAUAGACUAGGAUAUGACCCGCGGUACACCGCGGAUUAAUUAUUUGAUUUUUUUAUUUUUAUAAAUUGAUGAAUUUAUUGUGUAUAAUAUUUUUUGUUGUAUACCGCUGGUCACAUGCGUUGUAUCUAAAAUAAAAAUUUUUAAGUUGUAUUUGUUUUGUUUAGUGUUUAAGAUUGUAUAAUUGUAUUUUGAUUUGUUAUUUAUAGGAUUUCACCUGUGGUAUAUUGUCUCAUAUUAAUAUUGACCCAAACCCGUCCAACCAUAUAAUCUAAAAUGAAAUUAAACAUCAUUUUGUUAUUUUUUUAAUAACACUUUUAUUUAAAUGUCAUAUAAUUCGAGUUAAUUUGAAAGUUGCUUUCAAAUAGUUUCCAUGUAUAUUUUUAAAUUAGUGUGUGUUUUUGGACCAACCCGUAAAAACAAUUUAUAAUUGUAUCUUAAAAUACUAAUUAGGAUUUCACCCGUGAUAUACUGUCCCAUUUUAGAUAAUUGUAAAAAUUAAAGAAAGAUCCGAAUGACUCAAUUUCGGGUCUGAAUAAAAUAACGACAUGAUUAAAUGCUCAAUUUGUUCUUAAAAAUGUUAAUAUAGAUUACACACAUAUUUUUAUUCAUCGAUUGAGUAAUAUAUGUCUGUUUUAAAAAAUUUGAAUUGUAACAUAUGCAGAAAAAAAAAACUAAAAUUUAUUAACUAUUUAUAUAUUUUAUAAUAAUUUAAAAUAAUAUAAAUAUAAGAUCAAAUAAAAGUGAAAUAAGAAUCAUAUAUUUAUGUUUAAAAUAGGUAGAGAGGUUUUAGGAAAUUAGUGCAAAUUUGUUAUAUUAGCAUUAAAUCAUCAUAUUUGAUUUCUUUAUCUAUAAAAAUCGUGGAGAAUAUACCAUAAAUAAAGUGUUUAAAUAUAGUAAUUAGUUGAGAAAGUAUAUAUAUUUUAGAUUUUAUUAAUUAUUUUCGUUUUUUAAUUUUGCCAAAAUUUAAGGAAAGAUCCGAUUGAAGAUUUCCGGGUCAAAAUUAAACAAAUUUGACCCGAUUUGGGUACCCCAAAAACUGCUGCAAAAAUGUAUAGUAGAUUACUCAUUUAAGUUAUUUUCAUGCAUUUAAAUAAUCAUUCUAAAUCUAUGGAUCAAAUGAAUUCCCUUUUAAAGACUUUGAAAUCCAAUUAGGACUACUUGAGCAUUGCCAUUGGUAGAGAUACACUUAGGGCUUGACUGGUUUAAACGCAGCGGUUGCGGUUGCGGUUGUGGGAGUUUGCGGAAGCGUGCGGUUGCGGUUUCAAGCGUUAUUUAGCGUUUUGACCGACUGGUUUAGCGGUUGAAAACGGGUGCGUUUGCUGGAGAUUUACGACUGGUUGAUCAGCGGGUACGAUAACGGUUAAACCAAAGUUUACCAAAAUAAAUUUAAUAUCUACAUAUACAUUUUUACAGUACUUUUUUGCUUUAUUCUUUUGGAUCCGGGUUUGACCCGGUUUUAGUCUAUUCGGAUCAUGGAUAAGCAAUUUUAGGGAUGUUGUCUUAAUUUCAAACUGAUAAAUGAAGUCAUGUUGUCUUUAAUUCAUCUACUUAUUCUUAUACUAUUUCCAUAUUAAUCAUCUCCGGAUACUUAGCAUUUACCAUUCGCAGAAUUCAGUUUGUUAUUAUUACCUAAACUAAUUGCCACAUUAAUCGUAACUUAAUAACUUUAUUCUCUAAUUGAUUUCGAAUAUAUUCACAAUCUAAACUAAUUAAUAUCACAUAUCUUAUCUCAUCUAUUGUUCCUUUAAAUUCUACUAUACAAUCUUUUAAACAAUUCAAAGAAAGAGUGGUUGGAUUAAAAUCCAAACUAAAAACAAAACAAAAUCACAAAAAUCAUUUUAAAUCUUUUCAUAUUAACUUUACAUAAAACACUAACAUUUCUUUUUAACAGAUCAAUUAGCAAUAAUCACGUUGAUCUUAAUCCAUUAAUUAUUUGCCUAAACAACUAACUGAAUUUUAUACAACUGUUUAAGAAAUUUUAGGAAAAAUUAAUCACUUACUAUAAAUACAUUUUAAAAACGUUUAAUGAUCAAAUCUUUAGUUAAGAUUUUGGAUAGAAUAAUAAUUUGAAAAUCAAUUUCGAAUCAGUUUAGCAAAUAAUUAAUUUUUAUUCAUUGACAUAAAUAUAGAUUACUUAAAAUAGAUCGUAACAAUAUUUAAUUUGAUUUGUUUAUUUAAUUUCACCCAUAUAAUUCUUAAUUUAAUUUGUUUAUUUCUUCUUGCAGGAAAGUAGAACUUUAUAGCAAUCCUCUUUUGAUUUGAUCUCAUUUUUUAAGCGUGAAAGUAUUAUUGGAGAAAGAGUAAUGUGGUGUAUUACUUAAGCAAGGAUCAACAAUAGGAAUGUUUUAAAAACAAAAUAUAUAUGUAAUUUGAUCACAUUUAUAUAAUAAUUUUAUGAAUUUACUUAGAAAAAGUUUAACUUUAUUAAACGUUUUAAAUAUGUAUAAUAUUAAAACUUUUGAAAAAUCUUUAACCUAAAAUAAUCUGAUUACAAAAUUGAAUUUAAUUACCUAAAAUAAGUUUAUAAAUCGAUUUUGAUGGCAGAUUCUUAAAUAUAAUAUAAUCUCAUAAUUAUCGCAUUAAAUACAUAGUUAUUAAAACAAUCAAUACUAAACGGCAAACAGAUUUUAAGCAAAUUCAAUUUAUUAACUUUAACUAUUAAUUUAUUUAUAAAUUACCAUUUCCUAAAAUUUCUCCAUCAGUAUAUCAUUAAAGGUAAAAUUAAGAAUAAAAAGAUGCAGAACAAAAUCAGAACGAGACAUUAAAAUUAAAUUUUCUUCAAGCGGAAGUAAUUUAAUUGAAUUUUCUUUUUAUUUUCGGAAUUCAUAAGUGACAGUAAUUGUCAAAGUAGGGGUGGACAAACAGAAAUUUGGGACGGGAUUUUGUGGGAAGGGGAACGGGACGGGAAUUUAAGAAUCGAAAAGAUGUCAUUUUUCUGAUUUUUUCAAAUACGAGACGGGACGGGAUGGGAUGGGACGGAACCGAGAAUUCCUAAAAAUAAAAAACUAAGCGAAUAAUAAAUGUAAAAAACGUUUUUGCUACUUAAUAUUUAUAAAUUUAAAAGAUAAAAAAAUCAAUCUAUGUAAUAUAUUAAAUAUAAAUCAAAUAGUCAUAAUAUAAUCAAAAUAUAUUCAAAACUUUCCAUUCAUAUUAGACAAAUUAGAAUUUAAAUGAUAAAAUAUGAAAAUAAGUAGCUUAACUACUAUCUUGAAAAAUUCGAAAAAUUUAAUAUUAACCUGGUGAAUAAUUAUUAUUACUGGAUAUAUGCAUAUAAUUAUAUAUAAAAUAUUAUAUUUGAUAAAUAAGUUGUUUCAGAUGGAAUUUCGGGAAUUCCCGUUCCCGUCCCGUUCUCAAAUGGGAAUUGAAAGUUUGUCCCAUAUGGGAAUAAAUUUUCAUAUGGAACAAGAAUUCGGGACUGAGAAUAGGACGGGACGGGACAAGACGGGACGGGAAUUAUGUCCACCCCUAUUGAACACCAUGUCAUUCCAUUCUAUUAUAAAAUGUUUUCAAUACAAAAAGAAACUACACAAACUAAAAUACACAAAUUAAAAUUUGAAAAGUAAAGGAACUUACAAAGUCCCACAUUUUUGAUGAAACGAACUGUAUGUAAGAUAACAAAUACAAAGAUGAGCUCAUUUUGCAAAACAAACCGAUCGAUUUCAGAAAACAAGCCAUGUCUACAGUUUUCACCGACCAAAAACCAAUAUUCAACACCUAAAUACCGGAUAAAAAAAUAUACCACAAUACACAAUAAAAAAAAAAUGUAACGACAAUUACAAAAACCAUCAGCCUGUGCUGUAGCACGGGUUAGUAUCUAGUAUGAUUAUAAAAAAUUAUAAAACACCAGAAACUAUAAUUAUAAAAAGUAUAAAAAUUUUAAACAUGAUUAAUUAAUGAUUAAAAACCAUAAAUAAUUAUUCAAAUAAAUUUUUAUAUUGAAAACAAAAAUAAUUAUUAAUAUUAGAAAAUUAAAGUUAGAUAAUUAUUAUUUUUUUAGAAUUAACGUGAAUAUAAAUAAGACAUGAUAAUAUAUAUUUUAAUUUAUUUAUUUUCCUUUUUUAGUUUCUUUUCUUUUUUAAACCAACCGCAACCGCCCGCAACCGCAAACGCUUGCGGGAAGGAGCUUUUGAAAUCCAGCGAUUUCGAGCGGUUCGAAGCGGUGUGGAGCGGUUUCUGUGAUCGGUACCAAUCGCUAAUAACCGCAACCGACCGCUAACAACCGCUAGGCGGGUGAUAGCGGGAGAACCAAUCAAGCCCUUAGAGUAUCUUAGAAUAAAAUAAUAAUACAUUUUUAAUAGAAUUUGUUAUUUAAUUUAAUUUUUGUGAUAAAAGAAAGAUGCCAAUAAUAUAAGAAUAGGGGUUCUUAUCGGUUCUUAAAUGAGAAACGGUUCUCGUUCUCUUUUCAUUUUUUAAAAUAUUUUAAUGGUGAAAAUUCUUUUGAGAACCCACAAUGUUUAAAAGUCAAACUAAAGUCAUAUUUAAAUAUUGACUUUACACAUAUUUAAAAGUCAAACUAAAGAAGAAUUCAUGAAAAACAUAAUAGAUUAAUGAAAUAAAAGCAAUUUGAAAUCUUAUCUAAAAUGGUGAGGUUGGGAUUAGAAUCAUCUUCCUUUAAGGGUGUACAAGAGUUUAGAAAUAAGUCUUUAAGGCUUAUUAGACUUAAUGAUGGGCCUAACCGAAAAGGACAAUUAGGCCUCCUUUAAAACAUACGCCCACAAGCUAUGGACAUUCUAAUAAGAGUUACUCCUUUACCACUUUUGAUUCUAUCAUUUUCUCUUGUUUAUCUAGUUAGCUUGAACCCUUGUAUUAUUGAGUAACGAAAAUAUUUUGAGGAAAAAAAAACAAGUGUGAAAUGAUUGUAUUUUUACUCAUACAGGUGUUGUUUGUGAUACAUCAUUAUUCCUCUUUUUUUUGGUUAACAAAACCAAAAACUGGACCUAACCUUGGUUAAAAUUUGAUCUGACCCGUGCCAAAUAUCCACACCACACUUUUCUCCAUUCAGGCCCUACUACAAAGCCGUAAGACUGUGAGAGGGUUGAAAACAUAUGACUUAUAAUGAGAAACAAAAAAGAAAGUGGAGUUGAUGAAAUAAUCUGAUCUUAUGAAAGUGAAGUUGAUUACAAAAGGAGCAGCGUGGUAGUUGAAUAGUUUCAGAUGUUGAUAAAGACGUGACAUGGUUGUGUCCGUAAUCUAGUCAAGGAUUCCUAAUGUUUCUAAUUUAUUCUUCUAUAAAGUUUUUUUUUUUUUUUUUUUUUCUAUAAAGUUGCAUGAGAUUUAUAUCUGGAGAACAUAUAUUGCUCUAAUUAUGUGGUCUUAUUAUCAUCAAUAUAUGCCUUUUUCUACAUAGGAUAUAUAGAAACAUAUUUUCUUCAUUUCCAAAAGGAUUGAGAUUCGAAAUGGUGUAGCCACCUUAGAAAUAUUCAACAAUUAACAAAUGUUUCGAACAAAAGUGUCGAUUAGAAUAAAAGUAUCUUAGGCGAUUCUCUUCUUUUUGAUAAAGAAAAAAAAACAUAUUUAGAACCAGAUUUUUUUAUUCAAAAAAUCAUAUUUUUUGGUUAAGUCUGAUUAGACUAAAUCCGUUUAGGUAAGAAAAGAAAUUCAUCAAAUAAUUGAUUGAAACUUCUUAUGAUUUAUGAUUUUUUUUUUGUGAACCUCAAUUAGACAAUUCUAUAAUACUAAAAGCCAAUCUCGAUAACCUCUAUUUUGUUGAAUCUGCUCUGACUCAAAAUAGGUUUGAAUGGUAUAGUUGUAGUCUGCAAAGGGAACAAUCUAGUUGAGUAGUUGUUUUCACAUCAUUCAUAAAUUUUAGUCCAUUGUAAAAUAAAUUAGAAUCUUUUCCUUUCUAUAUGCUUAGUUUUUAAAAAACAAAUGCUGGCCAUGAAUAUUUGUGAGUUUCUAAGUGGUUUUGGAUUAUAGAUAGAUUUUGCAAAAAGGAAAAAAUGAGAAUUAAAAAUUAUAAAGAGAUUCUCGCUGCAAAAAACUCAUUAAAGUGGGACUUUGGAUUUUGUUUACAAAAAUGUAAAAAUUCUCAAAAUCUAGAUUUCUUAUUUUAUAGGAAAAAAUCAUUUUUCCAUAAUCUUCAUUAGAUAACUAAAUGGGUUUUAAAAAUCAAAAACAAAAAAAAAAACUAUGCUAGAAGUUCUUGUAGCGAGAUCUUUUUUUGUUUUGUCAUCCGAAAUUAAAUUAACUCAAAAAAGCCAUUCAUGAGGAAUGUUGUUUAUAUAUGUGAUAUUAAGCGAUUUUGCACGAACUUUUCGCGUUAGAUUAUCCGCUUUUACAUUCGUGCUACGAGAAAUUAAAGAUAAAAAGAAAUUUGAGAAUUCUUCCUUGUCGCUCUGAAAUUCCUCCAGAUACACUGAAAAUGCCGGCCAUUCGGUUGGAGAAAACACCAUCUUCACCAGCUCAGAACAGUCUGUAUAGAACGCUACCUCCUGAUUAUCUGCACCAAUCAUACACUUCAUCGCCCAGAGAUGGGCCUCGACUUCUGUAUUUAGGGGAGAUAGACUUCGACAGAGGUUGGCAGCUCCCAUGGUUGGCGGUUCUCCACUUGAAGAUGUACAGAACCAUCCUGUACUGGAGAACUUAUCACUUUUUUUCCAUGAACCAUCCACAAAACAACGGUAACCCGAAUAGUUUAAUUCAAGUGAAGCAUCCCUCACUCGAGAUCGAUUUACCAACUCUACAAGACCCUGAUGUUUAUUAAUAAACUCGAUUUGAGCUGACUACCACAAUUGUGCCUCUUUUUCCGCUAAUCGUAAAACCUCUAGUGGAUCAUUGUCUAUAUUUUCAAAUAUUUUCUCAUUCCUUACUUUCCAAAUAUACCAUAUAAUCCAUGGAAAAGCUUAUGAAUCGAAUUCUGGAGGUAUUCUCUAAAAUAAGUGAUCCAAAUUCGCAAAAAUAGAUUUUGUGGGAAAAAUACCUGUGACCGUAGGAAUCUGUGAAAGUGCCCAAAUCUACAGUGCCGUAUGGCACUGGAAGAGUGUGUGAUUGAUCGUUUCCUUUGUUGCACCACAUCUGGCACAUCCUGUGUCAUAGUCAAUUCCUCUUUUUCGCAAAUUUUCCGUAACCGGUACACAACCCGUUAAACUUUGCCACAAAACAUGGCGUAUCUUAGGUGGACAAUGCACUUGCCAAGUAUGUACUUUUAGUGGUAUGAUGUCUGGGCCUAUAAAGGAUACGUUGUUCUCCGAUUUUCCUAUUCGUGUGGUAUGAUAUCCCGAUUUAACCGUAUAUUUUCCUGAUUUUGUAAAAUGUCAAUCCAGAGUAUCUUCUUUAGUUGGCGCACCAACAGGUAAUACACUUAUUAUCGCGACAUUUUCUGGAUCAAAUGUCUCUUGUAAGAGAUCAAUAUUCCAAAGAUCUCUUGUAAGACACUUAGGUACAACCGGUCGUUUGCUUCCCGGCUUUUCUUCCAUCGAGAUCCUAUGGCAAAAUACUUCCCCCCCCCCCCACCCCAAAAAAAAAAACAAUAGAGCGUGUUUGAUACAACAAUAAAACAAAUGACUUCAAUCACUCCAUCUUGUAUGAUGUCAAAACUCAAAUCUAAAAUAUGUUUUGGACACCUGACCGGUCUACUCGAUUGACACCCUUGAAAUUUCGAAAUAGACAAUAUACAAACGGACAUAGACAACAUAACCUCAUCUCACUUAGAUAUUCACAUUUCCCAUUUUUCAAAAAAUUGGCUCUUCAUUUUCUGUAUACUUCCAACAAAUUGUCUUCUAGAGAAACCACAACUACAUAAGAUUCCACCACCUUCUCCAUCAUCCACCGUUCAUUCACUUAUCUCAUGUCUCCAAUGGCUCAUCUACGGUCAAGAUUGAAGGACUAGGAAACAUCCAAUGAACCAAAUUACACAAAAACUUCACCUUGAUAAAAAUAACAUCAUUUUAUUAUUUUGGCAGAAAAAGUCUUAAUUCGAACUUUGAGCGUGCUUAUAGUUUAAUCAAUUAAAGUUAUAAAGAAAAGUAACUUUAUAUAUUCAGGAGUAAUCAGUAGAUUUAUACCAUUCUUGUCCAUUGCUUUAAGCCACUUGAUCGGACGGUAAGUAUCAAUCCGGUUUACACUUUCUGAUUACAAAGAUUCCAACUUUUGGUUUAAUCGGACGGUUAGUAAUCAAUCUGGUUUAAGUUUAAAUCAAAGCCGUUGAUAUGUUUGACUAAAGUAGUCAACACUCUCUUUCUGCUACAAAGGAGCAGCCUUGAAACUCAAAGUCCUUACCUUUCCCUUCUCUAACCUCUCUCUUUCUCUCUCUCUGUCUCUCUGUGAGAAAUGGGCAUGGAAGCUUUGAGAUUUCUUCAUGUUAUCUUCUUCUUUGUGUUGAUUCUUCACUGUCAUUAUGGAACAUCUCUCUCUGGUUCUUCUGAUGUGAAGCUUCUUUUAGGAAAGAUCAAGUCUUCACUACAAGGAAACAGUGAGAGCUUACUUCUAUCUUCUUGGAACUCUUCUGUUCCUGUUUGUCAAUGGAGAGGGGUAAAAUGGGUAUUUUCAAAUGGGUCUCCUCUUCAAUGUAGUGACCUCUCUUCACCACAAUGGACUAACAACUCUCUGUACAACGACUCUUCUCUUCACCUUCUCUCUCUUCAGCUGCCUUCUGCUAAUCUCACUGGUUCACUACCUAGAGAGAUUGGUGAGUUUUCUAUGCUUCAAAGUGUGUUUCUCAACAUCAAUUCUUUAAGUGGGUCAAUCCCUCUUGAGCUUGGUUACACUUCCUCUCUCUCUGAUGUUGAUUUGAGUGGUAAUGCCUUAGCUGGGGUUUUACCUCCAUCGAUUUGGAACCUCUGUGAUAAGCUUGUCUCUUUCAAGAUUCAUGGUAAUAAUUUGUCUGGGGUUUUGCCUGAGCCUGCUUUACCAAAUUCGACUUGUAGUAAUCUCCAAGUUCUUGAUUUGGGUGGUAAUAAGUUCUCUGGUGAGUUUCCUGAGUUUAUAACUAGGUUUAAAGGUCUGAAAUCACUUGAUCUUUCAAGUAAUGUCUUUGAAGGUCUUGUUCCUGAGGGUUUAGGUGUAUUACAGCUAGAAAGUCUCAAUCUUUCUCAUAAUAACUUCAGUGGGAUGUUGCCAGAUUUUGGUGAGUCAAAGUUUGGAGCAGAAUCUUUUGAAGGGAACAGUCCUAGCCUUUGUGGUUUGCCUUUGAAGCCUUGUCUAGGCUCAUCUAGGUUGAGUCCAGGUGCUGUUGCUGGUCUGGUGAUUGGUUUAAUGUCCGGGGCUGUUGUUGUGGCCUCGUUGUUAAUAGGGUAUUUGCAGAACAAGAAAAGAAAGAGUAGUAUAGAGAGUGAAGAUGAUUUGGAAGAAGGUGAUGAAGAAGAUGAAAUCGGUGAAAAAGAAGGCGGUGAAGGGAAGUUAAUUGUGUUCCAAGGUGGUGAGAAUCUGACAUUGGACGAUGUUUUGAAUGCGACGGGGCAAGUUAUGGAGAAGACUAGCUAUGGUACUGUCUAUAAGGCUAAGCUUAUUGAUGGUGGGAAUAUUGCAUUGAGGCUAUUGAGAGAAGGUACUUGCAAGGACAGGAGUUCUUGUUUGCCUGUUAUAAGGCAAUUGGGACGCAUUCGGCAUGAGAAUUUGGUUCCCUUGAGAGCUUUCUAUCAGGGGAAAAGAGGAGAAAAGCUUCUCAUCUAUGACUAUCUUCCCAACAUAAGCUUACAUGAUUUGUUGCACGGUACUUGCUUUAGUCAUCUAUCUACUUUCCAUUGAUCUUUUUUUGCUUGAUCUAAGCUAUUCAUGUGUUGUAAUUUGUUGUUUGAGUUUUGUGCAGAAAGUAAACCUGGAAAGCCAGCUCUGAAUUGGGCCAGGAGACACAAGAUUGCACUUGGAAUAGCGAGGGGACUUGCUUAUCUUCAUACUGGUCAAGAAGUUCCCAUCAUCCAUGGCAAUAUUAGAUCAAAGAACGUGCUUGUGGACGACUUUUUCUAUGCAAGGCUUACUGAGUUUGGGCUUGACAAGAUAAUGGUACAGGCAGUAGCAGAUGAGAUUGUCUCGCAGGCGAAAUCCGACGGGUACAAAGCACCUGAACUCCACAAGAUGAAGAAAUGCAAUCCAAGGAGUGAUGUUUACGCCUUUGGGAUCCUUCUCUUGGAGAUAUUGAUGGGUAAGAAACCGGGAAAGAGUGGAAGGAACGGUAAUGAGUUUGUUGACUUGCCUUCUUUGGUUAAAGCUGCCGUGUUGGAAGAGACGACAAUGGAGGUUUUCGACUUGGAGGCAAUGAAAGGAAUUAGGAGUCCAAUGGAAGAAGGUUUGGUUCAUGCAUUGAAGCUGGCAAUGGGAUGUUGUGCUCCUGUUACAACAGUUAGACCCACCAUGGAAGAGGUUGUGAAGCAGUUGGAGGAGAACAGACCGAGGAAUAGAUCUGCAUUGUACAGUCCAACAGAAACCAGGAGCGACGCCGAAACUCCAUUUUGAGUCAAUUUGUGUUCUACAAGCUUUUUUCCUUUUGUAAUUCCUCACUUUAGUUGGCUAUAUUUGUUUCAUUGGCAAGAAACCAUUCUGAUUUGAUUUUAUCUAUAUUUGUUGAUGAGACAUGGUGUAACAGAAGCAGUUCAAAGUAUUACUAUUGAUAGAAGAAUAUAUGAUACAUGAUGAUUCACCAAAUGAGUAAUGAGGCAGAAGAAGAAUGCACUGUACUACAAUUUUGGAGUCGAGUCGAACAACACUGCGGCUCAUCAAAGCUGGCCCAGGUUGACGAGUGGAAGCAGAGAAGAGUCUAAAACGGUAAAAGAGAAAGAAGAGAAAAGAAAGGAGAAGAUGAAAGUGUAAAUGACGGGAACGAAGAAAACAAGUUUUUUUUUUUUCUUCUUUUGUCUCCCUCAGCUAGUCAGUACCCUCUUCGGUCUUGGGUUUGAGGAUUAUACAAUUAACUAACACCGCAUACCGAUCCUGCAUCUAAGGGCACCAGAGCUGUAGGUAAGCAUACUUACAACGGAAGCUGGUUUAGCUCCCAAACUAGAGGCUCUGGCAUAGCUUGCAGGAGCAGCAGCUCCAGAUUUAGUGAAGUAGGCACCGUUGAGCAUUAGGUCUCCCUGUGAUCUCCAGUUCCAUUGCUUCCAUUCUCCUUGCCAUGAACCUACCCUCUUUGUCACCUGCCAAAUGCAAUAUUACAUUUAGAUCCAUUUGUCCUACAAUCAAAGGUGAGAAAUUGGAAACUAGGAUUGAUGAAAGAGCAAAAUUAUGGUAUACCUCUUUGGCAAAAGGGUUUCCCGGGGCAAGGAACCGAUUGCCUUGGCUAUUGAUGGUAGGGUUAGCACUUCCACCAAUUGCAUACAUUACCCAAUGAGUAUAAUCAUUGUUUACAACAUGGAAAUAACCAUGUCUACACCUGAAAUAACAGCAAAAUAAUCAGCCCUCCUGAUUCCUGUAGCAAACAAUCAGAGGACAGAAAACACGAAAUGCAUGACAAACCUCGGCAUUCUCUGUAUAAGCCCUUCCCCAAAAUGGUUAUAUGCUAUUGUCACUUGCAUCAACUUGUCUCUGGUGUAUGAAUCACUAUGCCCCAUCAACAUAACCUGCCAUUCCCAUCAAGAAAAACGUUAUCAAAGCUCGUCGUCUCUGUCGCUAUUAAGCUAAGAUCACCACAUCUUUAACACAACCUACACAAUUCAGUCCACUAUACUAACUAAUUAAGCUGCUAAAUCAACCAAAAUCUACUCCAAAAACGUGAUUCUGCAGCAAAUUCAUCACCAUUUCCACAGAAUCAUCAUUUCCAAGCUCAGCAAAAUUGGUAAAACGUAAGUCAGUAGAAUCAGCAAAGAAGCUAACCUCGUUGUGGUGAGUCAUAUAGUUAUUGGAGAUAGUAAUAGCAGUAGAUCCCAUAAUCGCAUCAAUCAAUCCAUCAGCACAAUUAGACAAAGAAUUAUGAUCAAUCCAAAUAUGACUCGAUCCAAAAAUCGAUAUAGCAUCACCAUCCGCCAUAGUCCUCCACCCAUAAUGCGACGGCGAGCUUCGAACCAUAGCAUUACCAGUCCUUCUACAAUCAUGUAUAUUAAUCCCAUGGAUGAUAAUAUUCGUCACAAACUGGAUCGUGAUACAAGCACCGCCGGCGAUUGCAACGUUCACGCCUCUUCCAUCGAUUGUUUUGAAGCUAUUCAUGAUUAGCUCUUGAGUUAGAGUAAUCACCAUGUCGCGUUUGAAGACGAUCCAUAACGGACGGUCUUGAAUCACGGCGUGACGGAGCGUUCCUGGUCGUGGAUUAACCGCGUCGUGGUCUGAUGGAUCUGUGACGACGUAGUAACGACCAUCUCUUCCUCCGACUGCGUUACGACCGAAUCCGAUCGCGCAAUUCGCGAGACGCUUUCGUCGGAGAUGCCAGUUCUGAUCACAUCUCCAACAGUCGUCGAUUGGGUUUCCGGUGGCGCAUGAGAAGAAUCCUAACCUCCUCCGCUCCGUACUGUUCUUAAUCGUCCUAUUAAAUUAAAAUAACAAAAAGAGAAUAAAGUUUUAAAAAGUUUACAAAUUGACCCGUGAAGUUUUUGAUUUUACACAUUAAAACCCAAGAAAAUCACGUGGAGGAGAAGAAGGAACCAUGUGGUGUAAUAAAUGUAACCAUAUAUACGGAAUCAUAUGAUACGGACCAUACGGAAACUUUUUAUAUCAUUCUUUUUAUUUUAUUUUAACUUUCUAUUUUUGUGAUGUUUUAAAAUAAAUUUUGAAUAUAUAGAAUCUGAUAUAUUUUAUACAGGCAUUAAUUACAUAUUUUGCGUCGGUGGGGGAAUAUAGCGACGACAGAGGCGCUUUAAUUGGCGAUCACGGCGUGUCUGUGUCAUAUAAAACCAAGUUGUGCAAAACUUCUGAUCUAAAAAGAGGUUUCUUAAUUAACAAAUAGAGAAUUAUACAUUUGUGGGAAAAUUAUGGGUGCAAUUUAAUUAUAUUUUUGGUGUUUCCUAUGUAAAUUAAUACUAUUUAAGGAAUCACACAACCUUUGACUAUCUGAAACGUUACUAUUAUGAAAGUGAGAUGUACAUAAUGUAUACUAAUUGCUAAUUAAAAUAUGUUUCAUUUUUGCUUAAAAAUUGUAUUUUAUAAAGAAAGAGAGAUCUUACAUAUCGACCAUUGCAGCUACUUCUUCUGGGUUUUUAACGGCGUGUUCAUUCCAUGCACCGUCGUCGUUAGGUAACCUGAGAAAACAUCGCAUUUUAAAAACGACAUCGUUUUCGACCGUAUAAGCAAUCGUUUUCGAUCAAAUCUGGACGACUGAGAUUGACUAGAAAGUUUUAAAACUCACGUAUUAGCCGUUGAUGAAUUACUCGAGCUAUGAGAUUUUAGCUCCGUUUCUUGAGCCCUGUAAGACAAAAAUGUAGAGACAAAAGUUACUUUCUAUGUAGCAUGAAUUAGUACAAAGAUUCGAAGGUUUUCGAGAAUCUUGAAGCUUACAUUGUUGAUGCAUUAUUUAUACAUAAUGCUAGAAUGAUUAGAGUUGCUGAGAGAGCUAAGAAGCUUCUGCUAAAGAUCGCCAUUGUUGGAUAUAUUGAAGCUCUCUCUCCUUUUGUGUAAUGAGGAGGAAUGUGAGAUCGGAGAGAGAGAGAGAAAGAGAUGUAAUUAACUUGGAGAAGCUGAAGAAGAUUUAAACUUAUAUAUAUAGGCAAGUAACGAAGGUGGGAAGAAGUAGCCUAACUCCGUUAAUUGUUAUUUGGCUCGACGUUAGGAUUUGUCUUACGGUGGGAUCAGUUUCUAUAACGGCGUUUGUUAACUGCCGUCUUCCGAUCCGUGAUUGGAUCAUUUUUUUUGGUAGGCUUCCGUGAUUGAAUCAUUGUUUGACUUCAAAACAUUAUUUCCAGCCUUAACCAAAUUUAUUCUUAUUUGGGAGGUACAUAAGCACUUUUUGUGGGUUAGUUCUUUCUUACCAAAUUCCUAUACUUAUCAAAAUCUUGAGAAUUUAUAAAAUUUUGCCUCUUUUUGUUUUAAAGUGUAUAUGUAAGAGUAUUAUUGUUCAAAACAAAAAAAGUGUGUAAGAGUAUAUUCACAUGUAUUAGUCAAACAAAAUAUUUAGUUUAAGAUGUAUAAAAACAUACAAUAUAAAACGCUAAAAACAUCUAAAAUUUAUUUCAAUAAAUUUAUUAUCUUUACAACAAUAUACCAGUUUAACUGUUUAAAUAUGAGUAGUAAUCCUAUCUUCUAGAUAAUAAAUUAAAACUUUUAAAUUAUUAAUCACUAUAAAACAGAAAAUUUAGUUUAAUACAGUACAUCAGUCAUAGACUCAUAGUAAAACGGAGGCAUAAUAUUAUAUACAAAAUUAAGACUUUUUCAUUGUAAAUUUAUACUUUUAUGCAAAAAAUUAAUUCAUUUUCCUAAUUUUAGUAAAAUAAAUUAGGAAAUUCUAGAAAAAGAACACCCGUUAAAAUUUUUGUUUAAUAAGAUGAACUGUUCUAUGUAACAGUUCUCAUAAUUUGCAAUAAAUAAUAAAUCUAAAGGAAAAAAAAAGAUGAACAGUCGUAUAUUUUUGAUAAUUGGGAGUUCUUGAAUUAAUUUUCGGUGAAGACUGAAGAGGUGGAUAUUGUUUUACUUUAAAAUGUUUACAAUGACCAACCAUAUUCGAAGUGGCAAUGGAAGAAUUGAAACAAUGAUCACAUUACCUAUAAUUAUGAAUCGUUACUACUGGACAUAUAUAAGUUUACAUAUUAGAUAAGUUUGAUUAAUAGUAGUUUUUUUGUUUUUUUGUCAACCACACAUCUAUUAAAAAAUAAUUUCAUGAUUGAUUGUCUAAUUAGGAGGAUAAGAGUUUACAAAAUAACAUCAGAAAAUAAAAAUCUAGGGAAACGGGUUAAGCGGUCCGCCUUAACAUUACAUAAACGAGAAAUAUGAGAAAUCGAGAAGCAGAGAAAAGAGACACGGAGCAAUUCCGUGUUUCGCCUUCCAGGUACUACAAAUAACAAAUUGCAUAGAUACAGGAUACCACGUCUAGUUUUAUGUUUAAUUUCUAUAGAUAUUAUUCGCUAGUUUCAAUCAAAACGCCGACUUGAUAAAUUUUGAGGUUAGGUAGCGUUUUAUAAUAAGAGUUUUGACGUCGUGGUUAUGGAUAAUGCCAUGCAUUUUAUUAAUGUAUUUGCAUGUCUUUUUUUUGUUGUUAAAAGGUAUAAUGUAGUAUUUGAGUACAAUGCAUAUACCCAUAUAGUCAUAUAGAUGAUAUUAUAUAUUGAUGUAAUGAAAUGUGAUGGAGCUCAAACUUACAAUAAUCUUAAGCAUGUGAUUUUGGCUAAUACUUAAAGUAAAAAGUCAAUUUCUAUAAAUUAAAUCUAAGGUCUAUAUGUUGUACUCAAACAUAAUUCUAAAAUGAGUACACGUUUAGUUGGGAAGAUUAAUUAUAUUUCUUUUAUGCCAACCAUAACUAUAACUCCCAAUAUAUAUUAUAUUUCAUUAUCUGCAAUGUCUAAUAUUUAGAGGAACUACGAAAGAAAAAUCAAAGAACACAUGUAUUUUGUGGUCGGAAUCUUACCGUACAAAUGAUAAUAUCAGUUAAAACUUUGCGAAAUAUAUUCAAGGAAAUUCUGGUAACAAUUGUGGUCUAUAUUAUAUAUUAUAUAUCUCUAUCUACUUCAAUUUUUAAUUUCAUUAAUAGAUACAAGCUGACUUAAAGUUUAAUAGAUGUAACCACCAUGGUACAGCCAUUGCAUCCAUAUGCCGUACACGAGUAUAUUAUCACUAGUUAAUAAUCAUAUUGGUAGCUUCAAAUCAGGAAAAGACAUCUCAUUAGUCAUUAUGGAUAAAUUUAUAUAAGCAAUCUCAUAUGACACGGACUUUUAUAUAUUGUAACCAUACCAUUUGUGCCCCCAUGUACACAUUGAUGCUUAUGGAGGGUUUUCUCAAAGAAAAUCGAAUUAAUGAAACAAAGAAACUUUGAAUGAAAAAUGCGACGGUUACAAAUUGCAUAAAUUACAUGGACCCUCAAAAAGAAUGUAAAUGAAAUUUUGAUUUGAGAGAAAUCAAUCUAUAUAUGCACUUUAUUAGUAGAAAAAUAUAGAAUUACAUUAAAAGUAUAUAUAAUACAUGGAAAAGGUGGGAAGUUUAAGGAGGGCAUUACUCUAAGCACAUUUGUUUUGGCAUUGACUUUUGAACGUAAGACAAGCCUCAUGGCCGGCCGGUUAUCACCGUUAAUCAAGAGUCAAGACACAUGAACAUUACUUCGAUUUAUUUUAGUAUUUGAUAACCCAAUUAAAUUUACUUAAAUCCACUGUGUUAUAUAUAUGCUAUACAAUGUCGUUCAUCAAAAGCUUGAACUGGAGUUUUAUAACUUAAAUUUUAAAUAUUAUAGAGGUUAAACUAAUAAUAGGUGUACAUUAAUAAUAAUCCCCAUACCGAAGUCAUACUAAUUUCCUAAAUCUGUAAAGAAAAACUGACUACUCUUGUCAUUUAAUACGUUUAUAAUACCAUCAUGAUUAAAAUCAUAAUAAGAAGACUUAAACAUUGGUCUUCCAACCCAUAGUGAAUUUUGUUACAAAAUAAUAUAAUAAUACAUUAUAAUACGAAAUAUCACCACAUAUAGUUUCCCACUAUGAUAGAUUCUGAGUUUAUUUAUAGCACACUAGAUUGUGAUUGGUUAGAGAACUUGAACUGCAAUUAAUCGUUUAUAAGUUGUUCGAUGUAUGGCUACAUAUUUGAGUGUUUAAAAGUAGUAUGAAGUAUAUGUCUUAUUCAUGCAAUAGAGCCAACAUUUUUAAUUCAGUUUUGUUUGAAUAACGCAACCCAAUUGCCCACUUAACUAUAAUACACGUUUUUAUAAAUGAUGCUAAUUGUAAUGUGAUCCCCAAGUGUUGCAAUUGGGUUGAGUAAUAAAUAGAAGUGGGCAAAUGGUUAGUCAGUUCAUUCAUUCUAAUUAGCUAUUCAAAUAUUUUUCAACAAGAUUAUGUUUCAAAUGUCAAAACCAACAAAAUGAGAGCUAGUGUGGUUGUUGCAAAUGCAACUUGGUGGUGAUACGAUCAGUGACAACCUAACACGACUCCAUCGGUUUGAUAUCAAAUACCUCACGUAACCCGCCGAUUAUUCACCUGUCUUUAUUAUUUAUUUCCAUUUUCAGUCAUAUUGAGCCUGAUUAAUAACUAAAAGUAUUACAAAACACAACGUAUAUAGUCUAUUUGCAACGAAAAGUAUUCUUCUUUCUCUCUGUAACUAUAAUGUCAUACAGAUUUGGCCCACGAAAUUUUUUGUAGAUGUUUUUAGACCCGUUUCAAAAAUAAAAACAUGUCGGGAAGCACAAAAAUAUGGUCGUGUGACGUUGAUCAAUCGAUAAAGAGUACUCUUAAAUUUACUAAUAAAAGUCUUGAUUUAUUCAUUUUACGAUAUUGUAUUUUUAAUGGACACAAAAAUACAUGGAUUAACAAAACUAGAAACACAUGGAAAUUUAGAUAAGCACUAUGCAUGACAGCAUACCAAUUUUUAUUUUGUUUGAACACUCACACAAACAAUUGCCAAUUUCUAACUGAUUUGGGAGAACUUGAAGAAGAUAAAAUAACGGGAGAACAACACACGAUAUAACGAGACCCCUUCUGUGAAUCUGUGAUUUAUUGUCCAUCUUGAUGGAAUCCGACACCCCAAGCAUACUCCACUAUAAGCUUAUAACCGUAAAAAUAAAAUACCACAAGAUCUGAACUGUUACAAUAUACAAAAUUUUCUAAAAAGAAUAAUAAGAAGAAACCAACUUACGUAAGGCUAGAUAUAGCAAGAAGAAAAUAGACGUAAGAGAAUCAUAUUCGAUUUUUAUCGUUUAUGGCUUGGUGUCCUUUAAUUUAGAUGUUCUAUGUAACUUUGUUAAAAACAGAAAAGAAGAAGUAACUUUUACUCUUUUGUAGCAUGGCUCAAAGAUAUAUUAAUUUAAAUACAAAUUUGUUUUUUCUCAUAGAUUCUUAAUCAAGUAACAUAAAUGAAAAAUACAAGUAUAUAUUUACUUUUAAUCACUGAUAUGACUAUAAUAUUACAAAAAAAAAAAAAACACGCGUCGAGAAAAUAUAUAAAAACAACAUUUCAAUGAAUAUUAGUGGUUCUAUACAAUUUUUAUCAAAUAUAUAUAUAUAUAUAUAUAUAUAUAUAUAUAUAUAUAUAUAUAUAUUUAAAAAUCCACGCGUCCCGGUGUUCAAAAACCUAGUAACUACUGUAAAUCUUUGAACAAACACAUAUGUGCCUUUAUUAUUUCAAUAGAUUUUAUAAUUAAAGGUAUACCAUAUAAUAGGACUAAUUAAAACUAAUAAAAGAUUAAUUAUUGUAAACUUAUAACAAAAAUGUUGAACUUCACAAAGAUAUGGAAGAAGAAGAUGCAAUUAUUAUAUAUAAAAAUAACUAUAUACAAAUACCUAGAAUGAUCCAAAAAUAUAUAAAAAAAACACAUAUGGGUUUUUUCUUUUCAUAUUUUAAUAAAUUUUACAAUUAAAGGUUAUACCGUAUAAUAGCGUUAACAUUAAUAAAAGAUUAAGUAUUUCAGACUUAUAACAAAAAUGUUAAAAUUCACAAAGAUAUGGAAAAGAUGCAAUUAUGAUAUAUAGAAAUAUAGCUAUACAAAGAUCUAGGACGAUCCAGAAUGUGUUAUAGAGAUAUACUAAAUACUAGAUUUGAACCCGCGGUACACCGUGGGGCUAUAAAUUUUUUUAAAAAAUCUAAAUAUAAUUAGUUUUGUUUAUUAAUAGAGAGUAUAAUAAAAUAUUUCGACUUAUUUUAUAAAUGUACCAUCCAUAUAUCUAUAUUAAUAAUUUUGAGUAUAUUAAUUGUGUUUUAGGUUUAAAUGGUAUAUCUAUAUAUACACUUAAACGACAUUCGGCUUUCUUCUUCUUCUUGCCUCAGUUUAGGAGAAAUAUUUUUCUUGCGGUACACCGCGGAGCUAUUAUUUUUUUUUAAAAAAAUUUCUCCUUAAACUUCCAAAUCUAGAUUUUACCCCGCGGUACACCGCGGGUCAAUUUUUUUAUAACUAAAAAAUUAUUUUGCAAAAUUUUAAGUUGUAUUUGUUUUGUUAAUAUUGUUUAUUUUGUUUAGUGUUUAUGAUUUUAUAAUUAAAUUUUGAUUUUUAAUUCUAGGAUUUCAUCCAUAGUAUAUUGUUUAAUAUUAAUAUUGAUCUAAACCCGUUGCACCAUAUAACCUCGUCCCGUAAAAUUAAACAUCAUUUGUUAUUUUUUUUGAAUAAUAUUUUUAUCCACUACGGGUUGCAGGUUCAUGCGGAUAAGCCCGUAGAAAGUUGCGGGUUUGCGGAUCCACCCGCCAAAAGAGAAGCUAUCUUUUGAAACCCUUUGUUUUGUUUAGAGGUUUUAAGAAAAUAUCUAGGCCUGGGCAUUCGGGUACCCAUUCGGGUUCGGUUCUUUUUUUUCGGGUAUCGGGUCUAUUCGGGUAGGGGGUCAAGACCCAUUCGGGUAUUCUAAAAAUUCGGUUCGGGUUCGGUUCGGGUUCGGAUCGGUUUGGGUAUUUUAAUAAAAAAGCAAAAUAUCCGAAAAUAACCAAAAAUACCCGGAAUAUUUUCGGGUUCGGGUCGGGUUUGGGUUUUUAACUCAUAUAUACCCAAAUCUAACCGAAAUACCCGAUUUUUCGAAAAUACAUUGGUUACUCUUUACCCAAAUAUAACCAAAAAUAUCUAAAAUACCUAAUAUAUUCGGUUUUAUGAUUGUAAUUUUAGGUAUUUCGGGUAUUAUAAAAAUAAAAAUAACUAAUAUUUUUAGGUGUAUAUUUGUAUUCGGGUACAUUCGGGUAUAUCCCUAAAAAAUAAUUUUCAUUAUAUGAAAAAAAGAAGUAGAAGAAAUUGUAGUAUCAACAUUCCCGAUUUUUACAUCACUUUUAUUUUUUUUUUGUCAUCUGGAUUUAUUAUUUAUUGCAAAUUCUGAGAACUGUUAUAAUUAAUUUUUUUUUUGCAGAUAAAAAUCAGAAAUUAACUAAGUCGAGAUUUUUAAAAAGAUUGUGUAGAGAUUUUUGGUAAAUUGUUGAGAACAUAUUUGAUUUCAGAAUCUUUACUUAAAUAGAUAAGGAAAGAUUUUGUAGAGACUUUUGCUAAAUAUAUGAGAAAUGAAUUUCAAUUAAAAAUCUUUACUUAAAUAAAACAAAUCUAAAUAAUUAAUGCUAGUGGCAUGUCAUUGUAAAUACUUGUCAACUUCAGGAUUUAUUUGCUAGUUGUGAUCCAAAAAUGUAUAUAUAGAUUUGUUAAUACAAUUAAUAUUAUGGAAAUUUAUAAGAAAGACCUAGAAUGUUCCAAAAUAUAGUAUAGACCUAAGUCUCCACUAUAUAUACGUAUCCCAUCCCAUAUUCUAAGAAAAACAAAACCCUAGUUUUCUUGUUCUCUUGCUCCGCCGUGGUUAUCUUUCUCAGACGUUCUCAUCGCUCAUACUGAUACCAUGGCCGCCGUAGAAGGACCAAUCUUGGCUCUCAUCAGCAAACGUCUCCGUACUCUCCGCAAGAAAUACAACCGUAUUACUGACAUGGAAGAGUCGAUUUCUCAGGGAAAAACACUAAACAAGGAACAAGAAGAAACCCUCCGUUCAAAGCCAAUCGUCACCGCCCUUAUCGAUGAGCUCAUAAAUCUCCGCAUCCCUCCUCCUUCCGUGGCAGAAGAGAUCAAUCUCCCUGCUAAGGACAAGAAAAAGCAAAAGGUAUUCACUUAAUUUUCUCUAGGGUUUUAAUUAGCCGCAUCGUAAUAACAUAAUAAAUCUAAAUCUAAUACUUUCCUUCCUAGGCACGUAAGGAGGUGGCUGAGGAGGAAAACGUAACGGCCAAGACAGAUAUCGAGGAUUGCAAGAUCUCUGAUGGUCUCAAUUCUGAUGAGGUUUCCAAGGACGACACUUCUCCUAGUAGCGAAAGCUCAGAAGGUGUUACGCCAUCGCCCCUUAGCAGAAAGGCACGACGUAAACGGAACGCGAAGAAACGUCAGACUCAGCAGCGAUUGUGUCUCCAAACUUCUGUGUGUAGCGGAAGUUUUGGCAAAGAAAAAGUAAAGGGAAUUGCUUUUGACACAAGGAGCUAGGGCUUUUGCGUUUGAGUUUUUCCUACUAUCUUUGAUUCAUUUAGAUAGACCAUGUGGAAUUUAUUUCUAUAAACUUUUUUUAUUAAUUAACAAAAACAAAACCAAUGCAAUUUAUAUUAUUCUAUAUUAUUUAUGCUUUAUCGUUUGCUUUACUUAAUUCUCGUGAUGCAAGAUUGAAGAUUAUAUUGUUUAAGUUCAUCUCACACUAAAGAUGGAUGAUUUCCUUGACAAAAGCUCUAUAAAACUCUUAACCUCCGAAUCCAUUGUAUGUUUAUUUAAUUUGAUGAAGUAUCGAACUAUGUCUCUAGUCGUAAAUUCAAAUUGAAUCAUUACUGUUCUUGAGAUACAUGUACAAUAAUCAUUACUGUUAUAAAAAAAAAAUACAAGUUUCAACAUGUAUGGGAUUCGAAACCAUGACCUGUAUAACAAAAGCUGUUAUAAAAAAAAAAUUACAAGGUUAGUUUUAGGGGCUUCAGGUCAUGGUUUCGAAUCCCAUACAUGUUGAAACUUGUAUUUUUUUUUUAUAACAGCUUUUGUUAAUGGGCCAAAAAAUUUUUUGCUUUAGGCACUCAAAUAGUUUGGGCCGGCCCUGACUCUCACUAGCAGCUACGUCGUUGGCUACUGCAGCAAAUUCAUCUGUAUCAAUAACUUGAGAGAUGGCAUUUGGAUCAAUAACAUCGUCUUUCUCUAGUUGUUGGGUGAUCUCCAACGUUCUUGGUGAUAUCCCUUGGGAAGAAUCUAUACCACACUAUUCAAUAGAUAAAGAAACAAUAACUAAACUUAGAAUCAAGAACCAACAACAGAGGAAAAAACUAGUACAAUAUAUUAUCUUAGUAAAUGGUUGUAGAUAAUUAUGUAUCAUCAUAUCACAUAUUCAAUGAAUCAUUGGUGGAUUCAUAUUUGUCUAAAAUAUGUUAAAGAUGAUUAGAAUAGAAGGUGAAACCUGUUGAGUCCAUGUUUGUGAAUCUUGUGAGUUUUGAGUGUUGGCUAAAACUACUGAUUCUUCCUCAACAUUAGCUCUAUUUUUGUAUUCUUGGGACGAUUCAUCAUAGAAAUCUUUCAAUAACUCAUCUCGUGGUGAGUAAUUACCAUCUUGGACUUGCAGAAAUGUCACAUCACUAGCGUUUUCUGCGUUUCCAUAGACCUCAGCAUUCGCUCUAUUUUUGUAUACUUCAGAAGAUUCACCGUAAAAAUCUUCCAAUAACUCUGUUUUUUCUCCUUCCUUAGAGACCUCCUGAUCAGUUGACUCAUCUAGUGGUGAGUUAUUACUAUCUUGAACUUGCAGAAGUAUCACAUCACUAGCAUUUUCUUCGUUUCCAUAAUCUUCAACCAACUGUGUAUGAGCAUGGCUCGAAGAUUCUUCCACCACAUUAUGAGUUUUCUCUUCUUCUACUGACCUUGGUUUCUCUUCUUCUUCUAAUUCCUGACCAUUCUCUUCCAUAAUCUCACUUACUAGUAAUUCUGUAAGAACUUGGCAUGGAGAACUCUCUAAAUCACUUUGAUGUACCUCAUUUUCUGUUUGUUUUGUUGUUUCCUUAGUAAGCUUGUCUAAGUUUGAUUCUUCUUCUCCUUCUAACUCUCUCUCAAAUGAUUCUAUAUAGGAUGUGUCCAAAGAAGCAUCCAAAAAGCUCUUAGUUUCCCCAUGUUCUCCUUGAAUGCUACUCAGCAUUUGGUCUUUCUGCUGAUGAUCAAUGAUAUCUAAAUCAAUAAUCUUAGGAGAUCCACAAAGAUCAUCAUUUUCUACUUGUUUCACAUCAGCCACUUCUUCAUCAAUCAAUUUCUUCAUGGAUGAAUCCAGAGUAGUCAGAGGUCUCUGGUCAGUAAGUUCUUCAGUCAAAUUAUUCAGAUUCUCCGAGUUGCCCCCAUCGAUCGAGUCCAAGAUUGUUUCAGGCUCUUCUGUUAUAGACGACAAUGACGCACUUGUAUGGAACAACAUACCUUCAAAUUUCCCAGAGCUUGUAGGCUUGGACACAUCAUUGGAACUAGAAGGUGUCUGCUCAAAAAUCUCUUCGGUUUGGCUUCUUCUUUCUAACAAUGACAAAUCAUCAUCAACUGUUAUAAGGUUUUCAUCUACCACACAAUUCUGAUUUGGUUUGGCCUCAGGUUUAGUCCAUGUCUCAUUAUUCUCCUCUUUUGAUCCUAUUCCACUUCUUGAUUCAUACUGGUGAGAGAUCCUCUUACGUGAUUCUUCAUCGCGGACGAUUUCUCUGUCAAUAUCUGUAUCAUAAAUGUAAGAUUCACCGCCAUUAGACCAGUCAUCAAGCCAAUCAACUGUUGUAGGAGGUGAACCAAUCUCUGAAACCUCAACUUGCAUAUCCGAGGCAACUGAAAAUGUUCGACUGUGCGAAUUUCCGCAUUUUCGAGCAUAAAACAUGUUGUUAUCAUCUAGUCUUGGCGCUACUAAACCUCUAGGCAAUGUGGUUGGAAUACUAUUUCUUGUUUGGUUCACAAGAUAACCGGGAUUGUUAUCCAUCGAUUGGCAUAUAGCUUCCCUGAGCUCGGCUUUGUUUAAACGGCUGAGUUCUGACUCACUUUCUUCUGAACAACUUGAAUCAUCACAUUCUUCUUUGUUUGAAUCUGUCUCAUUAUCAUUCAUUUCUACCUCCCUUUCUUCGCUUUUUCCACUCACAACGCUUUUAUCGUCGUCUUCUAUUGUAGCUCCCUUUCCAUUACAUGGGAGAUUUUGUUCAGUAUGAUCCAUAUAUUCAUUGUCCAAAUCUGUAGACAAAAAAGUACAUUAUUCACAGAGCAAAAAUACAAACACCAAAAUUUAACAACCAGAAAAUAUUAGACCUUGUACCUAAACGUUUCCUAGUAGUUGAAAUGUCUGAAGCAGAAACUGGGCUGUUCAUACAUUGAGCAUGUUCUGGUGAAAACAGAGCAAAACGACAGAAGCUCUCAUGACGACAAAAGAACAUAUCUUUCUGAUUAAACAAUGAAAAUUCUUGAUCAAAGCUAUCUCCAGUAAGAUUAGGUCUUUCUUCUUGAGGAUCAUAAGGUAUGUCAAAAGGGUUUCUUCCUUGUAACAACACAGAAGGAGCUGAGCCUGGAAUCGGUAAUCCUUUAACAGUAGUACCAUCUGAUGAAUUAUUUCGACGUUUUUCAAGUGAGUUCCUCGAAACCGUAACGUGAAGGCUGUUGGUGUUGUUCUGUCUAGGGCUAGUUGUUUCUUCAGCUUGAAGCUUAUUCCUUUGAUCUAAAGCUAGUCUAAAGAGUCUCCUCGCUCUUCUUCUAGCUAUUAAGCUCUCUAGUCUCUUAUUUCUCUCAAUCUCUGAAAUCCCCUGCUCAUUAACAUUACUCAUCUCCUCUUUCAUCUCUUCUUUACCAUCUGAUUCUCCAUAUUUGAUCUCACAGUUGCAAACCAUUGGUUCUUCAACGUUAAGUUGACCUAAAUCACGAGAAUCUUCCUCUCCAAGAAACUCCUUCUCAUUGUUUUCUUCCUCUACUACAUUGGUUUCUAAAGCUUUUGGAGACUCCUCGAAAUGAGGAGUACGACCAAGGAGGUCAUUGUAAAGAGAAGUCAAGAUAACUUUGUCUUUCUCUUCCUCGCUUGUUUGUGAAUCCCAUUCUUCAACUUUCAUUCGAGCAUUUCGUCGGACACUUCGUUGUUGUUUUAAAUGACAUCUCUUUUCUCCACCACAACUCUUCUUUGGCUCUGAAUACGAACUUGAGAAUCUUAAUCCUAGCUUUUCUCGUGCAUACACUAGAGCACAUGCAAGAACCGGUGACGAGUAAAUCAAGAAGAACAAGAGAGUAGGGAGGAAAAUGUAUAGCACAAGUAAAAACAUUGAAACCCUUGACAAUAUUGGGUGGUUUCUCAUGAAUUUGAUGCUCAUGUUCAUCGAAUAUCCAAGAAUUUUCCAUAAUAUUACGAUGAUCUCUUUCGCGGCAAUGCCCAUUUUCCAUAUAAUCAAAAGAUGAAAUCAACUGAAACAAGAUCUUUUUUUCUUUCAAAGAUCUAGCAAAGAAUUUGGCAUCAAGGAAAAAAAAAAUUGAUAAAUGGAGUUUCCAAAUUUAGAGAAGAUAUAUCGUCUGGAGAUCCUAUGUUUCAGGAUGUUAAACUUUUCUAAAUUUUUUUCUUUUUAUUUUCUCCUGUUUAUUUGUCACAAGAGGGAAUUAAAACGACAAAACAGAAAACAAGUUUGGUUUUGUUAACGAGAGAGUUUUUUUUUUUGUGUAACGAAUCUAUUUUUCUGGUAUUAAGNNNNNNNNNNNNNNNNNNNNNNNNNNNNNNNNNNNNNNNNNNNNNNNNNNNNNNNNNNNNNNNNNNNNNNNNNNNNNNNNNNNNNNNNNNNNNNNNNNNNNNNNNNNNNNNNNNNNNNNNNNNNNNNNNNNNNNNNNNNNNNNNNNNNNCAUUCUGUGAGCCCUAUGACUAUGAGGCCAAAAACCAGAUUCGUGGCCCAUAUCCAUCGUUUAAAACCUGUGGUCAGGAAGAAAACCUGAGAUCUCAUCAACCAUUACCUUUCGUCCACGUCACAUCAAACACCAUUGCUCUCUAUACAUCUCGCCACACAGGAUUCUCGCCUUCCAGAUAAUCUUCUUACAAAACCGAACUCCGGCGUAAUCAACGGUGCAGAUAACUCUCUUUCUUCGAUCUAACGGUUCACAUUCGUAGUCGUUGUUCCCAGUAAACCUCGCGUUCUGUAGUGUGACCCAAAAAGAAGAUUAGAUAAACCCAAAAAUGUGUUUCAAUGUCUUCCUUUGAUUUCCUCAAUUUCUAGGGUUUCGAAAGAAAAAUAAUGACUUCAAUCGAAUUGCUAUGUCCAUUGAUUCACGAUAAGUUUCGAUUCUCAGCUUGUUGUAGUACUAGUAGUUUAUUGUAUUUGCAUGCUUCUAGCUUUUUCCGAGAUCGGUCUUUUGGUUUUCGUCAGAAUCCGAAUCGAUUUGUCUCCAAUUCAAUUCAACUUCCUCAAUCAGUUACAGGGUCGAUAAACCAUGAAAGGUUCAAUCUUUGGCAAGGGUUUUCGAGGAAGAAGAGUACUAGUAGUAGAACGAUUGUGAAUUGUCAAGAAGGUGAUCAGAAAGCUAGCUCAAGUGAAGGAGAAGGAAAGACGAAUUCGAAUUCGUCGAAGCAGAAAGGAGGGAAGCAAGGUAAGAAUGGGUUAUGGUGGUCUAAAGGGAAGAAAUGGCAGUGGGAACCGAUUAUUCAAGCGCAGGAGAUUGGUGUUUUAUUACUACAAUUGGGUAUUGUUAUGUUUGUGGUGCGAUUGCUUCGACCUGGAAUCCCGUUACCGGGUUCGGAGCCUCGCACACAGACGACGUUUAUGAGUGUACCGUAUAGUGAUUUCUUGAGUAAAGUUAACAAUGAUGAGGUUCAGAAAGUGGAGGUAGAUGGUGUUCAUGUUUUGUUUAAGUUGAAAGAUGAUGGGAAUUUGCAAGAGAGUGAAACUAGUGGUAGUAAGCUUUCUGAGUCGUCUGAGACUAUGCUUAGAAGUGUGGCUCCGACUAAAAGGGUUGUAUAUUCCACCACAAGGCCGAGGGAUAUUAAAACGCCGUACGAGAAAAUGCUUGAGAAUAAUGUGGAAUUCGGGUCGCCUGAUAAGCGCUCUGGUGGCUUUUUCAACUCUGGAUUGGUAAGACCGUGAAUUAGAAUGGCUUGUUGGCUUUGGGAAACACUAAAAGUGAAAAGGUUUCUUGUUUUCUUGUUUUUGUUGUUUCAGAUAGUUCUAUUCUACAUUGCAGUGCUUGCAGGGCUUCUCCACCGAUUUCCUGUUAACUUUUCCCAGGUUUGCACAUUCAUGAUACCGUAAUGUGGUUGUUUAAGUUAAGGCCAUGUGCACUUUUCUUAAAAGCUAUGAGGUAUACACAGAGUACAACGGGACAACUGAGGACACGCAAGUCUGGUGGUCCUGGUGGGGGGAAAGUUUCUGGUGAAGGUGAAACAAUCACUUUUGCAGAUGUUGCUGGUGUUGAUGAAGCAAAGGAAGAGCUGGAAGAGAUUGUGGUAGGUUCAUCUGUCCUUAUAGAUGCUGUAGUCAUAUUUGUUCUUGAUCUUGUUAAUUUCUCUAACACUUGGCUUAACUGUUGCAGGAAUUUCUCAAGAAUCCUGAUAGGUAUGUCCGUCUAGGUGCUCGUCCCCCUCGUGGUGUUUUAUUGGUGAGUUAAAUAAUGUGGUUACCACUUUGGUCAUUUCUUAGAUAGAGUUUAUGCGCAAUGUUUGGUUACUGUGUUUAAAAUUUAUGGCUUUAUUUCCCUUUUUGGUAGGUUGGUCUCCCGGGAACAGGGAAAACCCUUCUUGCAAAAGCUGUUGCUGGGGAAUCUGAUGUCCCCUUCAUAAGUUGCUCUGCAAGUGAGUUUGUAGAGCUGUAUGUUGGCAUGGGUGCUUCACGCGUAAGGGAUCUUUUUGCACGGGCCAAGAAGGAGGCUCCGUCAAUUAUAUUUAUAGAUGAGGUGUGAAUACAAAAUCAGUGUUUGAUUACCUGCUGUACUUUGUAUCGAUGUUAAUCUUAACAAAUGUAUCUGUUUUUCUUUCAUUUUUCAGAUAGAUGCUGUCGCGAAAAGCCGUGAUGGUAAAUUCAGAAUGGUCAGCAAUGAUGAAAGAGAGCAAACUUUGAAUCAGUUGCUCACUGUAAGUUUGUAAUCAUAUGCACUUUUUCUGCCAGAGUUGUUUUCUAGAUCUUUGCAUAAUCCAUUUAUAAGCUGGGAACUGGUUUACAGGAGAUGGAUGGUUUUGACAGUAGCUCAGCAGUUAUUGUUCUUGGAGCUACCAAUCGAGCUGAUGUCUUAGACCCCGCCCUGCGUCGGCCUGGGAGAUUUGAUCGUGUUGUUACGGUUAGUAGAAUAUCUGGCUCUGCUUAUUUUAAAUGAUCAUGCAAUGUAAUACUUUAUCAAAGCUAUCUGACACUUAAUUUCAGGUGGAAUCACCUGACAAAGUUGGAAGAGAAUCCAUAUUGAAAGUGCAUGUUUCAAAGAAAGAGCUUCCUUUGGGAAAUGAUGUCAACCUAGCUAGUAGUGCCUCAAUGACAACCGGUUUUACUGGGUAAAAAUUUGUAUUUUAUUCAUGACCCGAAAGUGUCUUACCUGCUUUUUGCUGUAUAAUCUCGUUAACUUUCAUGUUUGGUUUUUAUAGGGCAGACCUUGCGAACCUAGUUAAUGAGGCUGCUUUACUAGCGGGAAGGAAGAGCAAGAUGACUGUUGAAAAAAUUGACUUCAUUCAGGCUGUCGAGCGAUCUAUAGCGGUAUUGUCUUUUUCUUUCUGAGUCUAUUGAACAGCUCAUCACAAUAUGUUUCCUUACAUUGCAUCGUUUGUUUCAGGGCAUAGAGAAGAAAACUGCAAGGUUAAAAGGUAGUGAGAAAGCUGUGGUUGCAAGGCAUGAAGCUGGGCAUGCUGUUGUUGGUACAGCUGUUGGAAGUCCUUCUUCCUGAACAGUCCCGUGUUGAGGUAAAACAAUGAGAGCUGCCUCUUGGAUAGGCCGAAUACACAUUUUUACAUGCGUUAAUGCUCUGCGAAGUCGUGUUGUAUUUUUAGAAAUUAAGCAUAUUGCCAAGAUCAGGAGGGGCAUUGGCCAUUGGGCUUUACAUACAUUCCUCCAACACAUGAAGACAGAUAUUUGCUUUUCAUUGAUGAACUACAUGGCCUCUUGGUAACACUUCUUGGAGGUCGUGCAGCUGAAGAGGUUGUUUACUCGGGGCGUAUAUCAACAGGUGCACUUGAUGAUAUCAGGAGAGCAACCGACAUGGCUUAUAAGGCAGUAGCUGAAUAUGGUCUUAACCAGAAAAUCGGACCCGUCUCUGUGGCUACGCUUUCUGCUGGUGGGAUUGAUGACUCUGGGGGAUCACCAUGGGGAAGAGAUCAGGUAACUUUAUUCUGCCUAAACUUUUAGUUGGUCUUGUUCAAAAUGGAAAGCAAACUUAAUCUGUCAUGCUGAAUUCACAGGGGCAUCUAGUUGAUCUUGUUCAAAGAGAGGUGACAAAUUUGUUGCAAUCUGCUCUGGAUGUUGCGUUGACUGUUGUUCGCGCUAAUCCAGAUGUAUUAGAAGGGCUCGGUGCUCAACUGGAAGGUAACACAUUACACAUCUGGAUACUGAUACCAUAUUUACUCAAACAAAACAUAAGACCAGUUUUCUAAACAACAGCUAGUUUUGGCUUAUAAUCUCUGAGAUGGGCUGGUUCAUUCAAAUGGUAUCACCACAACAUGGCAUGAUAUGGUCACUAGAAUCACAUGUUGAUGGCCUUGUCUCAUAAUCUAUAUAGCUCCUCAAGUAGUUGACUCUGUUUGAAAACAUGUGAUUGGUUUCAGAUGAAGAGAAAGUAGAAGAUGAAGAGUUGCAGAAAUGGUUAAAUAGAGUAGUGCCCUCAGAGGAACUUGCAGUGUUCAUCAACGGAAAACGAGCUGCUUUGCUUCCAGCACAAGCUAGCUCCAGUUAACGUCUACAGAAUCAAAAAGCUAAAAGGAUCUAUCUACUUUUCUGGUGAGUCCUGGCCAUCGAUGACUUAGUAUGUAUAGAAAAAAAAAGCUUUUACUUGGUAUCAAACAGAGCAUGUGUUGUUGACUUAGUCCCGGCAACGGAGUUAAUUAUUUGAUUGACAAAAAAAAAAAAAAACAGAGCAUGUGUUGUUGUAUUUGCUACCUUUUUUUCCGCAAUGUUAUUGGCAAUUGUAUUAUUGUUCCACUUGUAUACAUAUAUACAGAGACCAUUUAUGUUAAUAAUAUACAACUUUCCUAUGGAAAGAUGGAAUCCAUCAAGUCCAAAAAAUGCCAAAACCAUGAAAGAUCUUGUCUGAUCAAGUAUGUUACAUUAAACUUUUCAUAUAUUUAUUAUCAAUGUACGAAGAAUUAAUAAUUAGACUAGAAAUGCAGAUCACAUAGAUUACACAAUUUUGAUCUCAUUUCUUGUCAAAGAGGCUCAGGCCACCGAAGCCACCGGAGUAUUUAAUUUUGUUGUCAAAGAAAUUUUUUUUAUUAGAUUCCACAUAAUUUAUGUUUGAAGAAGCUUUCUAUUACUACUAUAAUUUUCUAUUACUGUACUCUGUGUAAUUUUUGAAAGGAGGAAAUUAAUGAAUUUUAAGAUUGGGUGAUCUGAAAUUUUGACUAAACAUAUUUCUUGGACACAGCAGCUAAUUAUUGGAAAAAUUAUCUUAAAUUUUUGCAUUCACUUUGCCACCCAACAAAACAAAAAGUCAAAACUGAUUUUUAAAAAAAUAUUCAUAAUCAAUUAGUUGUUACUUGCUUCAUAUAUGCUUCUUCUUCCUUUUUAAAUGUUUUUUUUUAUAUUUAUAUCUGUUAAAUUUUAUUUAAGUGACUGAUCAUUAAUAUAGUAACAGGUUAUAAAUUUAACUUAUUCAAUCUAAUUUUUGUAAAAUUAUUCAUAAUCAAUUAUAAUCUUUGUAUCAUAUAAUUGUUUAAAAUGAAAAUAAUUAGUUACUUUUUCUUACAUCUUUAUCGUAAAUAAAUGUUUGAGAUGUGUAUCAGUGUAUGCCAUUGUGGACUGGCUGAUAUGUUUUAUCUAUUGAAUUUGUUGCCUAAAUAACCUGAUUUGUUGAGACCGAAACUCUUACUAAUUAAUUUACUAACAAUGAAGCGUAUAAGGCGACGAAUAAAAAAGAAUAAAAUUUGAACCAUAAUGACUAUAGUAACCGUCCGAAUUCAAACACAUAUGUAUGAUCUUUACCAUUUUUGGUAAUAUUUUCCGUUGCGUUCUCUUAGAAUUUUGUCAAUAUCAUCUGUUAUAGUAGUUUAAUUUGUACUUUAUAUAUGUAGUGUAUUUAAUUGUUUUCCAAAUGUUUUAGUCACAAUUAUGUUUUAACUUUUAAGUGUUCGACUCCAAGUAAACCCAGUUUCUUAGAAUGGGCUAACUGCCAUUGACCAAAUCUUUAUUCUCGAAGAAAGAUCUCGUUGCUAGGCUUAUUUCAUAUCUAUAACUAAAUUUCUACGAUUAUUUAAAAACAAAGACAUUAAACUUUUGAAAUGCUUAUUUCAUUUUCGGUUAUACAUUGCAAAGAUUAUGGAAUUUUUGAUCUUGAAAUUCGAGUUCAUCAAUGUCUUCACGAAAUAUUGUCAUUUAGUAGCUCGUUUUUAUAUAGCUAAGCAUGUUACAUAACAUAUUUAUGAUGCUUCAAAAGAAAAAAUAAUAAUUAUAAUUAAAUUGUAACGGGAAAAUUAAUUAGCUUUCGUGUUCUAUUAUGCCAAACUAUACUCGCAAUAGUCUUAUCUUAUCGACCCAAAAUUUAAUUUUCCCAACUACUUACUCCUAAUUGAAACAAAAUAUAACCUUUCUUACUAUAGCCAAUAUUAUAAAUAUCUAUGAUUUCUACAUUUAUAUAUAUACGCACAUACCUCUCCUUCAUCAUAUAUUGUCUCUCAACAAUCUCUCCAUACAACAAAAACAAAAAGCCUAAACCGGGAAAAUGGUAGCUCUAAACCCUAUCUUAACCGGCUACGCCGUGGCCGCCCUAUCAGUCUACGCUCUUUGGUUCUACUUCCUGUCCCGAAGACUAACCGGUCCCAAAGUCUUACCGUUCGUAGGAAGCUUACCGUAUCUAAUCGCAAACCGGAGCCGAAUUCACGAUUGGAUCGCUGAUAAUCUCCGAGCAACUGGGCAAAUGGGCUUCGUGACCAUGGGCAAGACCAGUCCAAAUUAUAAUGGUCCGGAUUUGGUCACGUCCAAAUUUGCCCAAAUUCGAAGCGGUCCAUAUGGGCUAGAAGCCCAUUUAGUCUACAAACAAAUGGGCCGAACCUAUCUGGACAUGGGCCGUCCAAUAAGCCUUAAAAAUUAGGAUUAUUAAUUUGGAGAAAAAAAAAUUUCUUUAUUUUUUUAAAAAUUAGGAUUUACACUGGCAUUUUCACUCCAAAAAAUAUUUUUACAGUUUUUUUCGGAAAAAUGUGAUUUUACGAUUUAGCGAAAAAAUGCAAUUCUGCGAUUUUGAGGGAAAAUAUGUUUUUGCGGUUUUGGCGGGAAAUAGAAAAUUUUAUUAUUUGGGCCCCAUGGACUGUCUAGUUGGUCAUUGUCUUAUUUGAUCUGGCCUUAUUUGGACAUGGUCCUAUUUGGGCUUAGACCGUCAGUAUCCAAAUAAACGGAACUGUCCAUUUGGACCGGCCCAUUUGGACUUGGAUAGCCCAAUUGACAUCCCUAGUGGUACGUAUCAAACAUGCACCAUGGUGAUACCUUUUUC